UGGUAGUACUGAUGUGCUUAACUGCCAGUUA
rnacentral:piRNA from 1 species